CCUACGGGUGGCAGCAGUGGGGAAUAUUGCACAAUGGGCGCAAGCCUGACCCAGCAACGCCGCGUGGAGGAAGAAGGCUUUCGGGUUGUAAACUUCUUUUAUCAGGGACGAAGCAAGUGACGGUACCUGAUGAAUAAGCCACGGCUAACUACGUGCCAGCAGCCGCGGUAAUACGUAGGGGGCAAGCGUUAUCCGGAUUUAGUGGGUGUAAAGGGAGUGUAGGCGGGGAAGCAAGUCAGAUGUGAAAACCAUGGGCCCAACCUGGGGCCUGCAUUUGAAACUGUGUUUCUUGAGUGCUGGAGAGGCAGACGGAAUUCCUAGUGUAGCGGUGAAAUGCGUAGAUAUUAGGAGGAACACCAGUGGCGAAGGCGGUUUACUGGACAGCAACUGACGCUGAGGCGCGAAAGCGUGGGGAGCAAACAGGAUUAGAUACCCGGGUAGUC
rnacentral:rRNA from 1 species